UAAAAUCUUUUUUACCAUUUU
rnacentral:siRNA from 1 species